rnacentral:rRNA from 1 species
UACGGGGGGAGCAAGCGUUGUUCGGAUUUACUGGGCGUAAAGGGCGCGGUAGGCGGUCGUGACAAGUCACUUGUGAAAUCUCCGGGCUUAACUCGGAACGGUCGAAGUGAUACUGUCGGACUAGAGUACAGAAGGGGCAACUGGAAUUCUCGGGUGUAGCGGUGAAAUGCGUAGAUAUCGAGAGGAACACCUGCGGCGAAGGCGGGUUGCUGGGCUGAUACUGACGCUGAGGCGCGAAAGCCAGGGGAGGCGAACGGG